GUGAAGCGGCAACAGCUCAAAUUUGAAAUCUGCCUUCGGGCCGAGUUGUAAUUUGUAGAGGAAGCUUUUGGUGAGGCACCUUCUGAGUCCCCUGGAACGGGGCGCCAUAGAGGGUGAGAGCCCCGUAUAGUCGGAUGCCGAUCCAAUGUAAAGCUCCUUCGACGAGUCGAGUAGUUUGGGAAUGCUGCUCAAAAUGGGAGGUAAAUUUCUUCUAAAGCUAAAUACCGGCCAGAGACCGAUAGCGCACAAGUAGAGUGAUCGAAAGAUGAAAAGCACCUUGAAAAGGGGGUUAAAUAGCACGUGAAAUUGUUGAAAGGGAAGCGUUUGCGGCCAGACUUGCGCCGCCCCGAUCAUCCGGUGUUCUCACCGGUGCACUCGGGGCGGCGCAGGCCAGCAUCGGUUUCGGCGGGGGGAUAAAGGCCCGGGGAACGUGGCUCCUUCGGGAGUGUUAUAGCCCCGGGCGUAAUGCCCUCGCCGGGACCGAGGUUCGCGCAUCUGCAAGGAUGCUGGCGUAAUGGCCGCCAACGACCCGUCUUGAAACACGGACCAAGGAGUCAAGGUUUUGCGCGAGUGUUUGGGUGUAAAACCCGCACGCGUAAUGAAAGUGAACGUAGGUGAGAGCUUCGGCGCAUCAUCGACCGAUCCUGAUGUAUUCGGAUGGAUUUGAGUAAGAGCGUUAAGCCUUGGACCCGAAAGAUGGUGAACUAUGCUUGGAUAGGGUGAAGCCAGAGGAAACUCUGGUGGAGGCUCGCAGCGGUUCUGACGUGCAAAUCGAUCGUCAAAUCUGAGCAUGGGGGCGAAAGACUAAUCGAACCAU
rnacentral:rRNA from 1 species